rnacentral:rRNA from 1 species
UCGAGAAUUUUUCUCAAUGGGGGAAACCCUGAAGGAGCGACGCCGCGUGGAGGAUGAAGGUUUUCGGAUCGUAAACUCCUGUCAUUAGGGAACAAUUGCGUGGGUUUAACUGACCUGCGCUUGAUAGUACCUGAAGAGGAAGAGACGGCUAACUCUGUGCCAGCAGCCGCGGUAAUACAGAGGUCUCAAGCGUUGUUCGGAUUCAUUGGGCGUAAAGGGUGCGUAGGCGGUAAUGUAAGUUGGAUGUGAAAUCCCGGAGCUUAACUCCGGAACUGCAUUCAAUACUGCAAUACUAGAGUACUGGAGAGGAGAUUGGAAUUCACGGUGUAGCAGUGAAAUGCGUAGAUAUCGUGAGGAAGACCAGUGGCGAAGGCGAAUCUCUGGACAGUUACUGACGCUGAGGCACGAAGGCUAGGGGAGCAAACG